GCCUUCUGGCAUUGUAAGUCGCUCUGGAUAAGAGUGUCUGCUAAAUGACUUAAA
rfam:Salmo salar isolate Sally breed double haploid chromosome ssa13, whole genome shotgun sequence.